rnacentral:lncRNA from 1 species
AGCGGCGUGACGCUCAGGGAUCCCCCGGGCGCCCCGGGCUCCCGCCUGCGCGAGCAUCCCGGGGACCUGGAGCGGGGGCGGUGUCGGGGCCUCUCAGAGACUCUCAGGGGAGCACCGGGCUUGGCGGUCUCCCCGGAUCCCUUGACGGAAGGGGAGAUUGGCUCCAGCCUCAGAGAGGGCUGCAGAACCCUGGAUGGAUGGGAAGUCUGGAGUCUCCAGGAUUCAUGGAUGGGGUCUAAGCUGCCUUUCUCUUUACCAGCUGUUUUGCCCCAAAUAGCUAUUGUGUGCACUUGGCUCAGAUCCCAAGAGCAAGUACUCAGGAAUUCUACAGAAAACACGUCAUGUAAAAUACAGCUGAGCUUCCAAGACAAAUUAUGAACACUGGAGGAAUUACAAUCACAUUACAGCAGCAACUGGAUGAUGACUCCCAGCUGGGGCAAUUGGGGUG